GAGGCCCUACGGGAGGCAGCAGUGAGGAAUAUUGGUCAAUGGCCGGAAGGCUGAACCAGCCAAGCCGCGUGAAGGACGAAGGUGCCAAGCAUUGUAAACUUCUUUUGUCAAGGGACAAAAUCAGGCUCGAGAGCCUGACCGAGGGUACUUGAAGAAAAAGCAUCGGCUAACUCCGUGCCAGCAGCCGCGGUAAUACGGAGGAUGCGAGCGUUAUCCGGAUUUAUUGGGCGUAAAGGGAACGCAGGCGGUCUUUUUA
rnacentral:rRNA from 1 species